UUCAAAUGCGGUCGACGAAUGCGGCCUUCUUUUCGCCUGAAUGAAGGAUGGGUCCGGUGUAUCCUUCAACAGGUAGCAUUUCCCAAGAUGCCUUGCGGGCCGGCCAGCAGAAAAACUUAAAAACAAUGGCGGACAGUGAAGCGGGAGCUGUCGGAGAGGAUUGCGCAUAUAAAUGAACAAAAGAGAAAACCAGGGAAUUUAUUAAGCUUAGGGCGGAGAUGGACCACAUGAUCACCGGAGCAAAGUAUUCGGCGGCUGUGGCAUGGAGACUAUUCUGGAGAAAAUGGGCAUCCAGGGGAAGGUGCCAGCGAUGACCAGCUUCUGGAUCUGAUCAGGGAGAACAUGAGGCUGCAGAGGGAGGCAGAGGGCCCAGGAGAGAAGGAAUAACUUUGACAGCUUUUUACUUUGCUAGAAAAAAAUGGUUAAUAAAGAUUAAACAUGUACAUAUAAAAGAAAUAUCUAAAUAAAAUCAGUUCUGCAUUAAACUCUUGAAUUUUAUUUUUGUUUACAAAUGAGAAUUGUUCAAUAUUACAGGGUAUCCGCUGGGUCUUAAAGUCUUAAAAGUUGAUAAAUGGGUUUUGGUCAAAUUAAGACCCUUAGAAAGUAUUAAAAACUAUUAUCACAUCUUUGCUCAGGCUCAGCUUGUCUAAAGUAUUUUCUCUGAAUUAGUUCUCCAACAGUCAAGGAAAUGAUUAACCCCCAGAGACCCACGGUUGUAACAUUACAACAUCAGAUUUAAGUCUACAAGAAUAAACCUUCCCCAUUUUUUCUUUUUAAAACUACAUUUACAUUGCUAAUAGGUCCUAUUGUUCAGUUCUGCAACACUAUUGACUGUUAAAAUGUGUAAAUAGGCCCGUUUAUCUGGCCUAGAACAACAUGUGAAAGGUUAAAUAAAGAUUUUGCAGUUGUUUUCUAAAUUUGGGUCUCUGGGGGUUAAAAAGCUAAAUAAAACGUCAAGCUCCAUCGUUUAAAGUUCCUUCUCCCUUCUGCCCAGCGGUUCCACGGUUGCUAGGCGACGGAACGUUCGCGGAGGGAGUUCAUGAAGGCUAGGCCUGUCCAAAUUCACAGCCGUUAACAUCCGGUCUACCCGGCCGACGGAGGACGCAGCCCGCGUCGGCCGAGUGGGCUGCGUCCUUCGAAGGAUGCAGACCCUGAAUUGAGAGCCCCCACAAUGCCGCUCUAAAAAUGGUCCCAUCCCGGAAGUAAGAAAAAUUGCAGUUCCACCCUCAUCCGCUGGGGGCUGGUGCCAGAAGCGAGCAAAUCCUCUUUGACUCCCAUGUUAAAAAUGCCGAUUUCACAGCAGAAAUAAACAUGUUUACAGCCUGGUGCCAAAACAUGUUUUUUGUCUAAAUUAGCUAGUUUAUACUCAUGACAACUCUGAGGGGGGUGAAUUUUUUUCUCACUCUUCUGUUUAAGUGUAUUGAAAGCCUAAAAUUCUGUAUAAUUAAUGAGCAUCCGACACACGUGACCGCCGCCUCAGACCCACGUGACCACAGAGCUAGCUCCGUGGAAAGGCCUCAGUACAGCCUCGGCCCCUCCUGGAAGCUGUUUCGGGAUUUUGAGUCUCUGUGCUUGUGAAUUCUGUUUUGGAUAUUAUUGGUGCAAUUGUUGGACAAAAUGACUUGCUGUGGUAUUAAUUGCACUAAUAGAGCGUCCAAGGAGUCUCCACUUCAUUUUUUUCGCAGGCUUGGAGUGACACCUGUGUCCAUUCUUCCAUCCGGUAAUCCCCAGCGGUCAGGCCAGGCAGCCUGACCUGUGCGGCGGCUAGUUUCUGCGCGGGCUGACCGCUCUUGGAGCUCUCAGAGACAGAUCUGACCGGAGAAAUACUGCAGCUCGGUGAGAAGUCUAUAGGGCAUACAGCGUUUCCCUUAAAUCCCACCGCCACGCCGACAAGAUCCCAAGUUUCUUUGUUUUUGUUUGCGCUGUUUACCGAAGAAGCAGCGGGAACUAAUAUGUUGUCGCUUGUGAUCACAGCCGGCGGGUAGCAAGUAUGUACAGUCUAUGAUUUUACCGCUCCCUCCUGCAGUCUUCCCCUAUUAAAAUUUAAAAUGUGUAACUUCAUGUAUUGGGAUGAAUGACUGAUAUUCAUGUUAAACUCAAACGUUAGGUAUUUAGGGG